GAUCAAGCGACUAAGUGCAUGUGGUGGAUGCCUUGGCGAUCACAGGCGAUGAAGGACGUAGUAGCCUGCGAUAAGCUGCGGGGAGCUGGCAAACAAGCUUUGAUCCGCAGAUUUCCGAAUGGGGAAACCCACCGCUUCGGCGGUAUCGUUAACUGAAUACAUAGGUUAACGAGGCGAACCGGGUGAACUGAAACAUCUCAGUAACUCGAGGAAAAGAAAUCAACCGAGAUUCCGAAAGUAGCGGCGAGCGAAAUCGGAACAGCCUGUACGAGUUAGCUUCGGUGAUAGAAGAACGGAUUGGAAACUCCGGCCAUAGCAGGUGAUAGCCCUGUAUUCGAAAUCAUUGGAGUGGGACUAGGCGUACGAUAAGUAGGGCGGGACACGUGUAAUCCUGUCUGAAGAUGGGGGGACCAUCCUCCAAGGCUAAAUACUCGUGAUCGACCGAUAGUGAACCAGUACCGUGAGGGAAAGGCGAAAAGAACCCCGGAAGGGGAGUGAAAUAGAUCCUGAAACCGCAUGCAUACAAACAGUCGGAGCCUCCUUGUGGGGUGACGGCGUACCUUUUGUAUAAUGGGUCAGCGACUUACAUUCAGUGGCAAGCUUAACCGAAUAGGGGAGGCGUAGCGAAAGCGAGUCCGAAUAGGGCGUUCAGUCGCUGGGUGUAGACCCGAAACCAGACGAUCUAUCCAUGGCCAGGUUGAAGGCACGGUAACACGUGCUGGAGGACCGAACCCACUAGUGUUGAAAAACUAGGGGAUGAGCUGUGGAUAGGGGUGAAAGGCUAAACAAGUCUGGAAAUAGCUGGUUCUCCCCGAAAACUAUUUAGGUAGUGCCUCGAGUAUUACUCCAGGGGGUAGAGCACUGUUAUGGCUAGGGGGUCAUGGCGACUUACCAAACCAUUGCAAACUCCGAAUACCUGGAAGUACAGCUCGGGAGACAGAGCACCGGGUGCUAACGUCCGGACUCAAGAGGGAAACAACCCAGACCGCCAGCUAAGGUCCCCAAAUAUCGCUAAGUGGGAAACGAAGUGGGAAGGCAUAGACAGUCAGGAAGUUGGCUUAGAAGCAGCCAUCCUUUAAAGAAAGCGUAAUAGCUCACUGAUCGAGUCGUCCUGCGCGGAAGAUGUAACGGGGCUAAGCGAUAUACCGAAGCUGCGGAUGCACAGUUUACUGUGCGUGGUAGGGGAGCGUUCUGUAAGCCUGCGAAGGUGGCUUGUAAAGGCUGCUGGAGGUAUCAGAAGUGCGAAUGCUGACAUGAGUAGCGAUAAAGAGGGUGAAAGGCCCUCUCGCCGUAAGUCCAAGGUUUCCUACGCAACGUUCAUCGGCGUAGGGUGAGUCGGCCCCUAAGGCGAGGCAGAGAUGCGUAGCUGAUGGGAAGCUGGUUAAUAUUCCAGCACCGUCGUUUAAUGCGAUGGGGGGACGGAUCGCGGAAUGUCAUCGGGGUGUUGGAAGUCCCCGUUGCUGCAUCGAAGAAGGCACUUAGGCAAAUCCGGGUGCGCAAUUCAAGGGUGUGGCACGAGCGAACUUGUUCGCGAAGUGAUUGGAAGUGGUCCCAGGAAAAGCCUCUAAGCUUCAGUUAAACGAGACCGUACCGCAAACCGACACAGGUGGACGGGAUGAAUAUUCUAAGGCGCUUGAGAGAACUCAGGAGAAGGAACUCGGCAAAUUGAUACCGUAACUUCGGGAGAAGGUAUGCCCUGGUAGCGUGAAGCGCCUGCGCGCUGAGCGUGAAAGGGUCGCAGAGAAUCGGUGGCUGCGACUGUUUAAUAAAAACACAGCACUCUGCAAACACGAAAGUGGACGUAUAGGGUGUGACGCCUGCCCGGUGCCGGAAGGUUAAGUGAUGGGGUGCAAGCUCUUGAUCGAAGCCCCGGUAAACGGCGGCCGUAACUAUAACGGUCCUAAGGUAGCGAAAUUCCUUGUCGGGUAAGUUCCGACCUGCACGAAUGGCGUAACGA
rnacentral:rRNA from 1 species